GGAAGGAUCAUUAUCGAAUUAUAAUCCGGCGAGGGGAAAGGGGGGAGCUGUCGCUGGCCUUUUGCCGGGGCAUGUGCACGCUCUCCUUGGAACCUUUGCCUUAUGGGCGCGGGGCGACCCGCGUCUUCAUAUACCUCUUCGUGUAGAAAGUCUUCGAAUGUUUAUAUUAUCAUCGAGCCGCGACUUCUAGGAGACGCGGUUCUUUGAGACAAAAGUUAUUACAACUUUCAGCAAUGGAUCUCUUGGCUCUCGCAUCGAUGAAGAACGCAGCGAAUCGCGAUAUGUAAUGUGAAUUGCAGAUCUACAGUGAAUCAUCGAAUCUUUGAACGCACCUUGCGCUCCUCGGUGUUCCGAGGAGCAUGCCUGUUUGAGCGUCAGUAAAUUCUCAACCCCUCUCGAUUAGCUUCGAAAGGGCGCUUGGAUAGUGGGGGCUGCCGAAGAUCUGGACUUUUCGUCUGGGACUCGGGCUCUCCUGAAAUGAAUGGGCUUGCGGUCGGCUUUCGACUAUGCAUGACAAGGCUUUUGGCGUGAUAAUGAUCGCCGCUCGCCGAAGUGCAUGAAUGAACGGUCCCGUGCCUCUAAUGCGUCGAUGCCUUCUGGCGUCUUCCUUAUUGACUUUUGACCUCAAAUCAGGUAGGACUACCCGCUGAACUUAAGCAUAUCAAUAAGCGGAGGAAAAGAAACUAACAAGGAUUCCCCUAGUAACUGCGAGUGAACCGGGAAAAGCUCAAAUUUUGAAUCUGGCGGUCUUUAUGGCCGUCCGAGUUGUAAUCUAGAGAAGCGUCUUCCGCGCUGGACCGUGUAUAAGUUUCCUGGAAUGGAACGUCGUAGAGGGUGAGAAUCCCGUCUUUGACACGGACUGCCAGGGCUAUGUGAUGCGCUCUCGACGAGUCGAGUUGUUUGGGAAUGCAGCUCAAAUAGGGUGGUAAAUUCCAUCUAAAGCUAAAUACAGGCGAGAGACCGAUAGCGAACAAGUACCGUGAGGGAAAGAUGAAAAGAACUUUGGAAAGAGAGUUAAACAGUACGUGAAAUUGCUGAAAGGGAAACGCUUGAUGUCAGUCGCGUUCGUCGGGGAUCAGCCUUGCUCUUUUGCUCGGUGUACUUCCUGGCGGACGGGUCAGCAUCAGUUUUGUUCGUCGGAAAAUGGCUCGAGAAAUGUGGCACUCUUCGGGGUGUGUUAUAGACUCGGGUCGAAUACGACGUUCGGGACUGAGGAACUCAGCACGACCUUCGGGUUCGGGGCUUAGGCCCACGUUAACGUGCUUAGGAUGCUGGCAUAAUGGCCUUAAGCGACCCGUCUUGAAACACGGACCAAGGAGUCUAACUCGCAUGCGAGUGUUUGGGCGAUUAAAACCCGAGCGCGUAAUGAAAGUGAAAGUCGAGACCCCUGUCGUGGGGGGCAUCGACGCCCGGACCAGAGCUUCUGCGACGGAUCUGCGGUAGAGCAUGCGUGUUGGGACCCGAAAGAUGGUGAACUAUGCCUGAAUAGGGUGAAGCCAGAGGAAACUCUGGUGGAGGCUCGUAGCGAUUCUGACGUGCAAAUCGAUCGUCGAAUUUGGGUAUAGGGGCGAAAGACUAAUCGAACCAUCUAGUAGCUGGUUCCUGC
rnacentral:misc_RNA from 1 species